rnacentral:rRNA from 1 species
UACGUAGGUGACCAGCGUUGUCCGGAUUUACUGGGCGUAAAGAGCGCGCAGGCGGUCGUUCAAGUCGAGUGUGAAAGCCCCCGGCUCAACUGGGGAGGGUCAUUCGAUACUGAUCGACUCGAAGGCAGGAGAGGGAAGCGGAAUUCCCGGUGUAGUGGUGAAAUGCGUAGAUAUCGAGGAAGAACCACCGUGGCGGAAGGACGGUCUGCCUUGGGACGG